rnacentral:rRNA from 1 species
UACGUAGGGUGCGAGCGUUGUCCGGAAUUAUUGGGCGUAAAGAGCUCGUAGGCGGUGUGUCACGUCGUUCGUGAAAACCUGCAGCUUAACUGUGGGCGUGCGGUCGAUACGGGCAUCACUGGAGUUCGGCAGGGGAGACUGGAAUUCCUGGUGUAGCGGUGAAAUGCGCAGAUAUCAGGAGGAACACCGGUGGCGAAGGCGGGUCUCUGGGAGUGUGACUGACGCUGAGACGCGAAAGCGUGGGGAGCAAACAGG